rnacentral:rRNA from 1 species
GGACGUAGGGCGCGAGCGUUUGUCCGGAUUUAGUUGGGCGUAAAGAGCUCGUUAGGCGGCUUGUUGCGUCGACCGUGAAAAACCCGCGGCUUAACCGUGGGCUUGCGGUCGGAUACGGGCGGGCUGGAGUUCGGUAGGGGAGACUGGAAUUCCUGGUGUAGCGGUGAAAUGCGCAGAUAUCAGGAGGAACACCGGUGGCGAAGGCGGGUCUCUGGGCCGAUGACUGACGCUGAGGAGCGAAAGCGUGGGGAGCGAACAGG